AACGAACGCUGGCGGCAUGCCUAACACAUGCAAGUCGAACGAGACCUUCGGGUCUAGUGGCGCACGGGUGCGUAACGCGUGGGAACCUGCCCUUAGGUUCGGAAUAACUCCCCGAAAGGGGUGCUAAUACCGGAUAAUCUCUUCGGACCAAAGAUGUAUCGCCUUUGGAUGGGCCCGCGUUGGAUUAGCUGGUUGGUAGGGUAAAAGCCUACCAAGGCGACGAUGCAUAGCUGGUCUGAGAGGAUGAUCAGCCACACUGGGACUGAGACACGGCCCAGACUCGUACGGGAGGCAGCAGUGGGGAAUAUUGGACAAUGGGCGAAAGCCUGAUACAGCAAUGCCGCGUGAGUGAUGAAGGCCUUAGGGUUGUAAAGCUCUUUUACCCGGGAUGAUAAUGACAGUACCGGGAGAAUAAGCUCCGGCUAACUCCGUG
rnacentral:rRNA from 1 species